rnacentral:rRNA from 1 species
GGGGAAUCUUGCACAAUGGGGGCAACCCUGAUGCAGCGACGCCGCGUGAGCGAUGAAGCCCUUCGGGGCGUAAGGCUCUUUCGACCGGAACGAUAAUGACGGUACCGGGAGAAGAAGCUGCGGCUAACUACGUGCCAGCAGCCGCGGUAAUACGUAGGCAGCAAGCGUUGUUCGGAGUUACUGGGCGUAAAGAGUGCGUAGGCGGUUUUCUAAGUUCGGUGUGAAAUCUCCCGGCUUAACUGGGAGGGUGCGCCGAAGACUGGGAAGCUGGAGUGUGGGAAAGGCAGGCGGAAUUCCUGGUGUAGCGGUGAAAUGCGUAGAUAUCAGGAGGAACACCGGCGGUGUAGACGGCUUGCUAGACCAUAACUGACGCUGAGGCACGAAAGCGUGGGUAGCAAACA